AGUGAACGCUGGCGGUAGGCCUAACACAUGCAAGUCGAACGGCGGCACAGUAAGAGCUUGCUCUUACGGGUGGCGAGUGGCGGACGGGUGAGGAAUACAUCGGAAUCUACUUUUUCGUGGGGGAUAACGUAGGGAAACUUACGCUAAUACCGCAUACGACCUACGGGUGAAAGCAGGGGAUCUUCGGACCUUGCGCGAUUGAAUGAGCCGAUGUCGGAUUAGCUAGUUGGCGGGGUAAAGGCCCACCAAGGCGACGAUCCGUAGCUGGUCUGAGAGGAUGAGCAGCCACACUGGAACUGAGACACGGUCCAGACUCCUACGGGAGGCAGCAGUGGGGAAUAUUGGACAAUGGGCGCAAGCCUGAUCCAGCCAUACCGCGUGGGUGAAGAAGGCCUUCGGGUUGUAAAGCCCUUUUGUUGGGAAAGAAAAGCAGCAGGUUAAUACCCCGCUGUUCUGACGGUACCCAAAGAAUAAGCACCGGCUAACUUCGUG
rnacentral:rRNA from 1 species